rnacentral:rRNA from 1 species
GAAUUGACGGGGGCCCGCACAAGCGGUGGAGCAUGUGGUUUAAUUUCAAAGCAACCCGAAGACCUUUCCAGGUCUUGACAUCCCUCUGACAAACCCUUGAGAAUAGGGGUUUCCCCUUCGGGGGCAGAGUGACCAGGUGGUGCAUGGUUGUCGUCCAGCUCGUGUCGUGAAGAUGUUGGGUUAAGUCCCGCAAACGAGCGCAACCCUUGAUCUUUAGUUGCCCAGCAUUCAGUUGGGCACUCUAAGGGUGACUGCCGGUGACAAACCGGAGGAAGGUGGGGGAUGACGUCAAAUCAUCAUGCCCCUUUAUGACCUGGGCUACACACGUGCUACAAUGGGCAGAACAAAAGGGCAGCGAAGCCGCGAGGCUAAGCCAAUCCCACAAAUCUGUUCUCAGUUCGGAUCGCAGUCUGCAACUCGACUGCGUGAAGCUGGAAUCGCUAGUAAUCGCGGAUCAGCAUGCCGCGGUGAAUACGUUCCCGGGCCUUGUACACACCGCCCGUCACACCACGAGAG